rnacentral:rRNA from 1 species
AACGAACGCUGGCGGCAUGCCUAACACAUGCAAGUCGAACGAGACCUUCGGGCCUUGUGGCGCACGGGUGCGUAACGCGUGGGAACCUGCACUUAGGUUCGGAAUAACUCCCCGAAAGGGGUGCUAAUACCGGAUCAUGUCUUCGGACCAAAGAUUUAUCGCCUUUGGAUGGGCCCGCGUUGGAUUAGCUAGUUGGUAGGGUAAUAGCCUACCAAGGCGACGAUCCAUAGCUGGUCUGAGAGGAUGAUCAGCCACACUGGGACUGAGACACGGCCCAGACUCCUACGGGAGGGAGGAGUGGGGAAUAUUGGACGAGGGGGGAAAGCCUGAUCCAGCAAUGCCGGGUGAGUGAUGAAGGCCGUAGGGAUGUAAAGCUCUUUUACCCGGGAUGGUAAUGACGGUACCGGGAGAAUAAGCUCCGGCUAACUACGUG